rnacentral:rRNA from 1 species
UUCGGGGUCAGCGGCAGACGGGUGAGUAACGCGUGGGAACGUGCCCUUCGGUUCGGAAUAACUCAGGAAACUUGAGCUAAUACCGGAUACGCCCUCUAUGGGGAAAGGCUUGACUGCCGAAGUGAUCGGCCCGCGUCUGAUUAGCUAGUUGGUGAGGUUACGGCUCACCAAGGCGACGAUCAGUAGCUGGUCUGAGAGGAUGAUCAGCCACACUGGGACUGAGACACGGCCAGAAUCCUACGGGAGGCAGCAGUGGGGAAUAUUGGACAAUGGGGGCAACCUGAUCCAGCCAUGCCGCGUGAGUGAUGACGGCUUAGGGUUGUAAAGCUCUUUUCUCCGGGACGAUAAUGACGGUACCGGAGGAAUAAGCCCGGCUAACUUCGUGCCAGCAGCCGCGGUAAUACGAAUGGGGCUAGCGUAUGUCGGAAUCACUGGGUGUAAGGGCGCGUAGGCGGUGAUUUAUCGAGGGUGAAAGCCUGUGGCUCAACAAGAAUUGCUUCGAUACUGGUUGGUUGAGA